UACGUAGGGUGCAAGCGUUAAUCGGAAUUACUGGGCGUAAAGCGUGCGCAGGCGGUUUUGUAAGUCAGGUGUGAAAUCCCCGGGCUUAACCUGGGAACUGCGUUUGAAACUACAAGGCUAGAGUGUGGCAGAGGGGGGUGGAAUUCCACGUGUAGCAGUGAAAUGCGUAGAGAUGUGGAGGAACACCGAUGGCGAAGGCAGCCCCCUGGGUUAACACUGACGCUCAGGCACGAAAGCGUGGGGAGCAAACCGG
rnacentral:rRNA from 1 species